GACGAACCGUCCUAACGUUAUUCGGAAUUACUGGGCUUAAAGGGUGCGUAGGCGGCCCUGUAAGUUGGGUGUGAAAUCCCUCGGCUCAACCGAGGAAUUGCGCCCAAUACUGCAGGGCUAGAGGAAGAUAGAGGUGAGCGGAACUUGUGGUGGAGCGGUGAAAUGCGUUGAUAUCACAAGGAACACCUGUGGCGAAAGCGGCUCACUGGGUCUUUCUGACGCUGAGGCACGAAAGCUGGGGGAGCGAACGGGAUUAGAUACCCGCGUAGUCCCUGA
rnacentral:rRNA from 1 species